rnacentral:rRNA from 1 species
GACGAACGCUGGCGGCGUGCUUAACACAUGCAAGUCGAACGGUAAGGCCCUUCGGGGUACACGAGUGGCGAACGGGGGAGUAACCCGUGGGUGAUCUGCCCUGCACUUCGGGAUAAGCCUGGGAAACUGGGUCUAAUACCGCAAAGGACUCCGGCCUCAUUGGUUGGGGGUGGAAAGACUUUGAGGUGUGGGAUGGGCCCGCGGCAUAUCAGCUUGUUGGUGGGGUAAUGGCCUACAAAGGCGACGACGGGUAGACGGCCUGAGAGGGUGACCGGUCACACUGGGACUGAGAUACGGCCCAGACUCCUACGGGAGGCAGCAGUGGGGAAUAUUGCACAAUGGGCGCAAGCCUGAUGCAGCGACGCCGCGUGAGGGAUGACGGCCUUCGGGUUGUAAACCUCUUUCAGCUAUGACGAAGCGCAAGUGACGGUAGUAGCAGAAGAAGGACCGGCCAACUACGUGCCAGCAGCCGCAGUAA